rnacentral:rRNA from 1 species
GAUGAACGCUGGCGGCGUGCCUAAUACAUGCAAGUCGAGCGAACAGAUGAGGAGCUUGCUCCUCUGACGUUAGCGGCGGACGGGUGAGUAACACGUGGAUAACCUACCUAUAAGACUGGGAUAACUUCGGGAAACCGGAGCUAAUACCGGAUAAUAUAUUGAACCGCAUGGUUCAAUAGUGAAAGACGGUUUUGCUGUCACUUAUAGAUGGAUCCGCGCCGCAUUAGAUAGUUGGUAAGGUAACGGCUUACCAAGGCAACGAUGCGUAGCCGACCUGAGAGGGGGAUCGGCCACACGGGAACUGAGACACGGUCCAGACUACUACGGGAGGCAGCAGUAGGGAAUCUUCCGCAAUGGGCGAAAGCCUGACGGAGCAACGCCGCGUGAGUGAUGAAGGUCUUCGGAUCGUAAAACUCUGUUAUUAGGGAAGAACAAAUGUGUAAGUAACUAUGCACGUCUUGACGGUACCUAAUCAGAAAGCCACGGCUAACUACGUG